UCUGGGAUUAGAUACCCUGUUAUUUAAAAUGUUUGUUUGUUUACUUGAGUAGUAAUAGUUAUGUUCUUUAAACUUAAAAAAUUUGGCGGUAUUUUAGUCUAUUCAGAGGAACCUGUUUUAUAAUCGAUAAUCCACGAUGUACCUCACUUAAAUUUGUUAAUUAAUUUGUAUACCGUCGUUAUUAGAAUAUUUUAUAAGAAUAAAUAAUUUUCAAUAGUUUUUAUAAAAAUUAAUGUCAGAUCAAGGUGCAGUUUAUGUUUAAGUAAUAAUGGGUUACAAUAAAUUUAUUUAUAUGGAUAUAAUUAUGAAAAAAUUAUUGAAAGUGGAUUUGAUAGUAAAAUUAAAUAGAUUAUUAAUUUGAUUAUAGCUCUAAAAUAUGUACAAAUCGCCCGUCACUCUCUGA
rnacentral:rRNA from 1 species